rnacentral:rRNA from 1 species
UUGGAGGGCAAGUCUGGUGCCAGCAGCCGCGGUAAUUCCAGCUCCAAUAGCGUAUAUUAAAGUUGUUGCAGUUAAAAAGCUCGUAGUUGAAUUUCGGGAUCAGUACGUUGGUCGUGCCUUAGGUACGUACUGGUGUUACUGGUUUCUACCUUCUGACGAACCAUCAUGUCAUUAAUUUGGUGUGGCGGGGAAUCAGGACUGUUACUUUGAAAAAAUUAGAGUGUUUAAAGCAGGCUCGCGCUUGAAUACAUUAGCAUGGAAUAAUGAAAUAGGACGUUGAUCCUAUUUUGUUGGUUUCUAGGAUUGACGUAAUGAUUAAUAGGGAUAGUUGGGGGCAUUAGUAUUCAAUUGUCAGAGGUGAAAUUCUUGGAUUUAUUGAAGACUAACUACUGCGAAAGCAUUUGCCAAGGAUGUUUUCAUUAAUCAAGAACGAAAGUUAGGGGAUCGAAGACGACCAGAUACCGUCGUAGUCUUAACCAUAAACUAUGCCGACUAGGGAUCGGAUGAUGUUAAUUUUUUAAUGACUCAUUCGGCGCCUUACGGGAAAC